ACGUGUUCUCUUUUGAUCUCGCGAGCAUUCUACCACUGAACCACCGAUGC
rnacentral:lncRNA from 1 species